CAAAGCUGUGCUGUUUUGCAGCCCAAGGGAAUGGUCCUCAAGGAAACGUGACCAACAUUAUUUCUGUCCAAGGACCCUAAAAGAGCCUGAGAGGUCACAGGUGCCCCACAGCAGCCCCAGGGACACCGUGUCACUGCCUCCCAAGGUCCCUGCAUUCAGAUACCUUUAACUGUGGAAAGAGCCUGCAGGAGCCUUGGGCACAGGUUAAGAAUCUGCAUGACUUCCUGAGAACUGUUUUGAGUGUGUGACAUUGCAGGUCACAACUGCCUGGACAGUGAUCCCCAGGUCCUCUGCCAAGACUACACAACAGCUGACAGAUGCUUGUGGAACCAAAGCACAGACCAGCUUCUUAGAGUGCUCUGGAAUCACCUCAGCUAAUAACAGCAUUCACGGCUGUAAAGCAAUCCCAGGAGACUCAUUCCUACAGUUGGGGAAGCAAAGGCCAUUCAUGAAUGUAAGAGCAGCGGGACACCUCUGUGUUUUUUUUUCUUAGGCUUUGCAUGAAGUUGUGGUGUGGAGAAGCUGAGAGGGAGGCUGAGCAGGUGCAAGGGGCAGCUUGCGGUGGAGAGCUUUGCAGUGCGACAGGGUGGUGUCGGGCUGCCUCUGGGUGAUGUCCUUUGCUUUGCUUUUUCAGGUGCUGUGCGGGCCUCUUC
rnacentral:lncRNA from 1 species